AGAGUAAUGCAUGGGUAAUGUACCCUUGACACCGGGACAACGGCGGGAAACUGCUGCUAAUACCGGAUGAAGUCGCGAGGAGGCAUCUUCUAGCGACCAAAGGGCGGGGACCGAAAGGCCUGCCGGUCUUGGAGCAGCCCAUGUCCUAUCACCUAGUUGGCGAGGUAACGGCUCACCAAGGGAUCGACGGGUAGCGGGUGUGAGAGCAUGACCCGCCUCAUCGGGACUGAGACACUGCCCGGACAUCUACGGAUGGCUGCAGUAACGAAUCUUGGGCAAUGGGCGCAAGCCUGACCCAGCAAUGCCGCGUGCAGGAGGAAGUCCCUCGGGAUGUAAACUGCUUUUAGGGCCUAGCAAAUGAUACGGGUGAACAAUCCGUAAAGUGGAGCGGGCCCAGAAAAAGCCUCGGCUAACUCUGUGCCAGCAGCCGCGGUAAUACAGAGGAGGCUAGCGUUGUUCGGAAUCAUUGGGCUUAAAGGGCGUGUAGGCUGCGGCGCAAGCGUCGUGUGAAAUCCCAUCGCUCAACGAUGGAACUGCACGGCGAACUGCGUCGCUUGAGGUCGGUAGAGGUGCUUGGAACUCUAGGUGGAGCGGUGAAAUGCGUAGAUAUCUAGAGGAACGCCUGAGGCGAAAGCGGAGCACUGGGCCGAUUCUGACGCUGAGACGCGAAAGCGUGGGGAGCAAACAGGAUUAGAUACCCUGGUAGUCCACGCCGUAAACGAUGCACACUAGAUGACGGGACCUCUCACGGUGCCGCCGUCGAAGCAAAAGUGAUUAGUGUGCCGCCUGGGGAGUACGGCCGCAAGGCUAAAACUCAAAGGAAUUGACGG
rnacentral:rRNA from 1 species